rnacentral:rRNA from 1 species
GAGUUUGAUCCUGGCUCAGAUUGAACGCUGGCGGCAUGCCUUACACAUGCAAGUCGAACGGCAGCACGGGGGCAACCCUGGUGGCGAGUGGCGAACGGGUGAGUAAUGCAUCGGAACGUGCCCUGAAGUGGGGGAUAACGUAGCGAAAGUUACGCUAAUACCGCAUAUUCUGUGAGCAGAAAAGCAGGGGAUCUUAGGACCUUGUGCUUUGGGAGCGGCCGAUGUCGGAUCAGCUAGUUGGUGAGGUAAAGGCUCACCAAGGCGACGAUCCGUAGCGGGUCUGAGAGGAUGAUCCGCCACACUGGAACUGAGACACGGUCCAGACUCCUACGGGAGGCAGCAGUGGGGAAUUUUGGACAAUGGGCGCAAGCCUGAUCCAGCCAUGCCGCGUGAGUGAAGAAGGCCUUCGGGUUGUAAAGCUCUUUCGGCGGGGAAGAAAUAGCGUGGGUUAAUACCCUGCGUUGAUGACGGUACCCGCAUAAGAAGCACCGGCUAACUACGUGCCAGCAGCCGCGGUAAUACGUAGGGUGCGAGCGUUAAUCGGAAUUACUGGGGGUAAAGCGUGCGCAGGCGGUUGUAUAAGUCAGAUGUGAAAUCCCCGGGCUCAACCUGGGAACUGCAUUUGAGACUGUACGGCUAGAGUUUGGCAG